rnacentral:rRNA from 1 species
AACGAACGCUGGCGGCAGGCCUAACACAUGCAAGUCGAGCGAAGCCUUCGGGCUUAGCGGCGGACGGGUGAGUAACGCGUGGGAACGUGCCCUUUGGUACGGAAUAGCCCCGGGAAACUGGGAGUAAUACCGUAUGUGGUCGAGAGACGAAAGAUUUAUCGCCAAAGGAUCGGCCCGCGUUGGAUUAGGUAGUUGGUGGGGUAAUGGCCUACCAAGCCGACGAUCCAUAGCUGGUUUGAGAGGAUGAUCAGCCACACUGGGGCUGAGACACGGCCCAGACUCCUACGGGAGGCAGCAGUGGGGAAUCUUAGACAAUGGGGGAAACCCUGAUCUAGCCAUGCCGCGUGAGCGAUGAAGGCCUUAGGGUUGUAAAGCUCUUUCAGUGGGGAAGAUAAUGACGGUACCCACAGAAGAAGCCCCGGCUAACUCCGUGCCAGCCGCCGCGGUAAAAC